rnacentral:lncRNA from 1 species
GAAAAGGUAUUAAUAUUACAUUAUUUUGCAUUAAGUCUGGAAAAAAGAAGGAAGUAGAACAAGAACUACUUGUAUGUAGUAGACAUUUAACUGACAGGCACAAUCGCAGUAGACAUUCUUAAUAACACCCAGUUUCAUCCUUCUUCAUUCCACCUCUUAGGUUGAAAAUGUGCACAGCUGAAUUAGAUUCACCUUUUACUUUGUGUGUCUUUUUGCAUUUCUGGGGAAUGUUGCUGUCCUAUUGUGAUUGAGACUGAGCAUAAUGUCUUUGAGACUAUAUACUACUUCCUGGCAUGUUGAUUUUUUGUUGGACAUAUUAAAUUCUAUUGACCUAUUUAUCUGAUGGCCUUUCCACAGCCACCAUCACUAAAAUGUUGGGCAUCUUCUGAUUCAGUUUUGGGUUAGGGAUGGGAAAUAUAUAUGAAUAUAUUUUAAUAUGUGUGUAUGUAUAGUAUCAAACCCUAUGUAUACUAUGUUUUCCCUAUACAUACAUACAUACACACACACACAUACACACAUACAUACACACACACAUACAUACACACACAUACACACACACACACACACACACAUAUAUAUAUAUAUAUAUAUAUAUAUAUAUAUAUAUAUAUAUAUAUAUAUAAAAUUUGUAGUAAAAAUCAUAUAAAAUGUGCCCUCUUAAGUGUUUUAAGUUUACAGUUCAAUAGUGUUUACUAUAUCCACAUUGUUGUGUAACAAAUCUCUAGAACCUUUUCAUUUAACAAAACUGAAACUUGGUACUUAUUCAGUGACUCCCCAUUCAUCUUUCCCUCCAGGCCCUGGAAACUAU